AGUCAGUUUUAUUCUUGCUGAUUUGUUCAGUUUAGUUUUGUUUUAUAUGCAAGGUUUUGCGUGAUUAUUCUUUUAUCUCUUAAUGGGUCUGGGCUUCAGGGAUUAUGGGUGUAAUUUAAUUCGCAUUAUUUAUUUUUAUGGAUUGUUUUUUAUUUGACUUAGCAAUAACUUAUAGUACCGGCUGAGUUUGUGCCAGCAGCCGCGGUUAUACAUUAGGUGCUAUUGAAUAUUUUCGGUUAUGUAGUUUUAUUAUUGGUUUUAAACUUUAUUUGGUUGAUUUUGUUGGGUGAAAUUUUAAUUUUUGAUUAGGUUGUAUUUAUUUUGUGUAAGCUGUGAAACCUUUGUUUGUAAACUAGGAUUAGAUACCCUAUUAUUUUUGGUGUUAAUGUUGUUUCCUGGGUAGUAUUAGUUAUGUUCUUUAAACUCAAAGAAUUUGGCGGUAUUUUGUACCUUUCAGAGGAAUCUGCCCCUUUAUCGAUAAUCCACGUUGGACCUUACUUAAUUUUUUUUUGUUUGUAUACCGCCGUUGUGGUGAGGAUCUUUUUAGUGUUUUAAAUUUUCUGGUUUCAUUAUUGUGAUUUAUUUCAGGUCAAGGUGCAAUUUGUUUUUAAGUGUGAGGUGGAUUACAUUAUUUUGUUGGGAUUUUGGAUUAUUGAAUGGAAUGUUUGGUAUGAAAUUGGAUUUGAUUGUAAUUUGUUGUAGAUUGUUCCGAUGAUUUAGGUUCUAGAAUAUGUACACAUCGCCCGUCACUCUCAUUUAUUGAUUGAGAUAAGUCGUAACAUAGUGGUCGUACCGGAAGGUGUGGCUAGAUUGAU
rnacentral:ncRNA from 1 species